GACGGGCGCCAUUGUCCAUUGUUCCGUUGUCAGCGGGAGUGAGGAACGGCUAUGGAGGCUUCCGUGUUCUCGGAGCCAAGGACACGAAGUACCCGCGAUGCCGUGGACAUUGGUUCGAGAUCGUUCCCCCCUGACCUCCACCUAGAAUGGAGACAAGCAUUGGAGACAUGCAGUGAAUCGAGACAAGAUUUAUGCCCCAGUUACAACGGUCUUAGUGUAGCUGCUGCACGAAGACAGAACCAUGGGAACCAUGCUGAGUAACACCGAGAAUUCGCCGCCAUGGGAUUUGCCACUAAAUUGUUAGUCUCUCUUGUCAUCCCGUCCUGGUUCUCAGAACUUACCCUUGCACAACAUUGUCCUGAGGGCUGCACAGGGCUCGCAUUCUGCUACACUCCCUUGUCUAACAGCUGUGUUGCAGCACCUGAGCAGCGCGCUAGAAAUGACUUGGCGGUUCGCAAUGACCUGUCUAGAGCACAGGAUCAGUGUCUCGAACAAGUGCAUUCACGUAUGUUUGUGAUCACUGCCAGUGUUUAUCAGGGCCUGACGGUUCGGGCCUGUGCGACGACAUUUUAGUGGGAAGAGCUUAGAAGAUUUUCAGAUUUAUGGCAAGGCAUCUUAGCACUCCUUGUUGACAUGAAAAAAUCAAUGAAGGCUCUUGGAAGGCGUGUACAAGACAUCACAGACUAAAUGACACAAAAGAAUGAGGACAGGCUCAGCACCCCUCCAAAGUUGCCCCUGUGCACUGAUCAAGAACUGCGGUUUCAUAGCGAACUUGGUGAAUUGUGAACUGAGACACAAUUUGGCUAGUGUUCACGUUUUUGCAAGUGUGCUUUGUGCAGCACAUGGAUGUUGAUUGCAUCAAAAUGAUCUGGAUCCCAUUGGCAACAUAUUUCAGGGGGUUUGUACAGCUGGUGGUUUGUCUCAUCCUUAUAGUGGUCAUUGUUAAACAUAAUUCUGAGUUCCUGCUGUGAUAGCAUAUUGCCCUAUGAUGUCACAGUACUUUUUGAGCAGUCACUUCUCCUCUUGUGAUAUCAUUGCUCUUUAGACUUCCUGCUCUUUCCCCUGUUCUGAUAGUAAACACUUUGAAUCUCUAUUGUACACUUGUAAUAUCUGUCUGAAAUGGUCCUCAUCC